ensembl:lncRNA
AAUGAGCCUCAGGUAUUUGCAGCCAUCUCAGAGAAGCAAAGGGUUAAGCAGCUACUGAAGAAGGGCAGGCGCACCAGCAAGCUCUCCAUAAUACGGUAAAUUAGGGGCAGAAAUCUGAACUCAGGUGGAGAGCAGUACGAGCACGUCCCUGUGAGGAAAAGGACGCGGGCUUCCUAUGGGAAGGCAAGUACUGUACAAGCUAUGGUGCUCAUCUCAAGGAUUUUAUUUCUCAAGCUGAGACAGCAUAAAGACACACUGAAGAUAAAUCAUGGACCAUAUAACAAGAACAGGUGAAGACAUGCUGAUAUGAAAAUAACACAGAAGUACUUUAAGAGCAUUUCCAGACAUACUGAUUCACCAGAACCUGAACUGUGUGCAGUUCUGGGUGCCACAAUGUAAGAAAGAUUUAAAACUACUGGAGAGCAUCCCAAGAAGGGCAACAAAGGUGCUGAAGGAUGUAGAGGGCAAGACAUACGAGGGGCAGCUGAUGCUCCUGGUCUGUUCAGCCCAGAGGACGGGAGGCUGAUCUCAAAUGUCCUGCGAUAACACAGCAUCAUCACCAGCUUCAGAGUGUGAUGAGACUCCUGAGUGUCAUUGGCUGACUUUGUCCAUGAGAAAGCUGAAUAAAUAAUUUGGGCCUGUCCAGUCCCAUUCUUUCCUGUUUCUUUUAUAUGUUUUCUCUACACUAUUGUUUUAUAACCUUGAAAUUUGCAGUAAUCUUUCAGAAAGCCCUAACAUAUACUGCAUGUUUUGUAUGAAAUUUGUCUAGCUUUUUCUAGUUACAAUAGUUGCUUGUUCUGUUGCCAAGAAAAUAGCAUCAUCAGCUACUUGGACUAUACAAAAUAUUACAGAAUAAAAUCAGCAACAGAAGUACACUGUUAUUUUUUCAUCCUUAUAUCCUGCCUUGUGACAGGAAUCCUUCACUCUUCUAAGUUCAUUGGUUAACAGUAAACAAAGCUGCUUUCAACAAUUGUCUUAUUGUAGCCUCUGCGUAGCAGAGUACAGUGAUCAUAACAAUAUUUAAGAACUGGUUGGCUAUUACUUAAUUGACUGUGUUUUAUUAAUAUCGUCAGAGAAAAAUGUUCACUGCAAGAGAUAUGGGGACAUGGCAGAGAUUUUGGAAGUGACGAGAGAGUUUAC